CAUGCAGUCGAGCGGGCGAGGUGUAGCCUUCGCGUACACUAGUACGCUAGCGGCGGACGGGUGAGUAAUGCUUAGGAAUCUGCCUAUUAGUGGGGGACAACAUUCCGAAAGGAAUGCUAAUACCGCAUACGCCCUACGGGGGAAAGCAGGGGAUCUUCGGACCUUGCGCUAAUAGAUGAGCCUAAGUCAGAUUAGCUAGUUGGUGGGGUAAAGGCCUACCAAGGCGACGAUCUGUAGCGGGUCUGAGAGGAUGAUCCGCCACACUGGGACUGAGACACGGCCCAGACUCCUACGGGAGGCAGCAGUGGGGAAUAUUGGACAAUGGGCGCAAGCCUGAUCCAGCCAUGCCGCGUGUGUGAAGAAGGCCUUUUGGUUGUAAAGCACUUUAAGCGAGGAGGAGGCUACUUGGAUUAAUACUCUAGGAUAGUGGACGUUACUCGCAGAAUAAGCACCGGCUAACUCUGUGCCAGCAGCCGCGGUAAUACAGAGGGUGCGAGCGUUAAUCGGAUUUACUGGGCGUAAAGCGUGCGUAGGCGGCUUCUUAAGUCGGAUGUGAAAUCCCUGAGCUUAACUUAGGAAUUGCAUUCGAUACUGGGAGGCUAGAGUAUGGGAGAGGAUGGUAGAAUUCAAGGAGUAGCGGUGAAAUGCGUAGAGAUCUGGAGGAAGACCGAUGGCGAAGGCAGCCAUCUGGCCUAAUACUGACGCAGAGGUACGAAAGCAUGGGGAGCAAACACGAUUAGAUACCCUGGUAGUCCAUGCCGUAAAAGAUGCCGACUAGCCGUUGGGGCCUCUGAGGCUCUAGUGGCGCAGCUACGCGAUAAGAAGACCGCCUGGGGAAUACGGUCCCAGACUAAACUCAAAUGAACUGACCGGGCCCGCACAAGCAGUGGAGAAUGUGGUUGACUCGAAGUAGGUAGUCUAACCGCAAGGAGGACGCUACCAC
rnacentral:rRNA from 1 species